rnacentral:rRNA from 1 species
GACGAACGCUGGCGGCGUGCCUAACACAUGCAAGUCGAGCGAGCGGAGUUCUUCGGAACAAAGCUAGCGGCGGACGGGUGAGUAACACGUGGGCAACCUGCCUCAUAGAGGGGAAUAGCCUCCCGAAAGGGAGAUUAAUACCGCAUAAGAUUGUAGCUUCGCAUGAAGUAGCAAUUAAAGGAGCGAUCCGCUAUGAGAUGGGCCCGCGGGGCCUUAGCUAGUUGGUGAGGUAACGGCUCACCAAGGCGACGAUGCGUAGCCGACCUGAGAGGGUGAUCGGCCACAUUGGGACUGGGACACGGCCCAGACUCCUACGGGAGGCAGCAGUGGGGAAUAUUGCACAAUGGGGGAAACCCUGAUGCAGCAACGCCGCGUGAGUGAUGACGGCCUUCGGGUUGUAAAGCUCUGUCUUCAGGGACGAUAAUGACGGUACCUGAGGAGGAAGCCACGGCUAACUACGUGCCAGCAGCCGCAGUAAUAC